AUGAUAUUUCAAUUUAUUUCCAUCAUACUAAAUAUGAAUAAGCUUAAAUUCUGAGAUGGCAUUCUCUGACAGGUACCAAUGUCUUCAGAAUUUCCCUGAUUUUUUUCAACAGCUAAAUUGAAAAAUACAUAAUGUUGUUGUUUGUAUUUUCAGUGACUUAAACCUUUGGGGUCAUUUCAUCCUUUCCAAAAAUAAAAGAUGCUGUCACAAUUACUAACUUAGAAAAUAACAAGAAAGGGAAAGUAACUUCUUAUGCAAACCAAUGGAAGGUUUCAAAACAUCUAUUCAAAAUGACUUUAAAAUGUUAUUUGAAAAAAUAAUUUGCUUCCAAGUAAAUGAUA
rnacentral:lncRNA from 1 species